rnacentral:rRNA from 1 species
AUGAACGCUGGCGGCGUGCCUAAUACAUGCAAGUCGAGCGAACAGACGAGAGUGCUUGCACUCUCUGACGUUAGCGGCGGACGGGUGAGUAACACGUGGGUAACCUACCUAUAAGACUGGGAUAACUUCGGGAAACCGGAGCUAAUACCGGAUAAUAUUUAGCUUCGCAUGAAGCAAUAGUGAAAGACGGUUCUGCUGUCACUUAUAGAUGGACCCGCGGUGUAUUAGCUAGUUGGUGAGGUAACGGCUCACCAAGGCAACGAUACAUAGCCGACCUGAGAGGGUGAUCGGCCACACCGGGACUGAGACACGGCCCAGACUCCUACGGGAGGCAGCAGUAGGGAAUCUUCCGCAAUGGACGAAAGUCUGACGGAGCAAUGCCGCGUGAGUGAAGAAGGUUUUCGGAUCGUAAAACUCUGUUGUAAGGGAAGAACAAGUACGUUAGUAACUGAACGUACCUUGACGGUACCUUACCAGAAAGCCACGGCUAACUACGUG